ACGGGGUGCAGCAGGCGCGAAAACUUCACACUGUGCGAAAGCGCGAUGAGGGAAUCCCAAGUGUUUGCUCGUAAGAGUAAACUGUUUCUUUGUUUAAAACGCAGAGAGAGUAAGGGCUGGGUAAGACGGGUGCCAGCCGCCGCGGUAAUACCUGCAGCUCAAGUGGUGAUCAUUAUUAUUGGGCCUAAAACGUCCGUAGCCGGUUUAGUAAAUGCCUGGGUAAAUCGUGUAGCUUAACUAUACGACUUCCGGGUAGACUGCUAAACUUGAGACCGGGUGAGGCUAGAGGUACUCCUGGGGUAGAGGUGAAAUUCUGUAAUCCUAGGGGGACCACCAGUGGCGAAGGCGUCUAGCUAGAACGGGUCUGACGGUGAGGGACGAAGCCCUGGGGCACAAACCGGAUUAGAUACCCGGGUAGUCCAGGGUGUAAACGCUGCUUGCUUGAUGUUAGUUGGGCUCCGAGCCCAACUAGUGUCGGAGAGAAGUUGUUAAGCAAGCUGCCUGGAAGUACGUCGCAAGGC
rnacentral:rRNA from 1 species